rnacentral:misc_RNA from 1 species
AAGAUCAACCCUAGCUAGGGCAGAAUAACGAACGGACUAAACAACAGUCGCAAGCAGCGCCAUCACCAUCUUUGAAGGGUAGUUGGCCAAUCGCCAAAGGACCUACUCGCCGAAAAGUACGGAGGAGUCAAGCAUAGGCAAAAGCUGGAUCAAAGACCCUAAGAAAUGCAACUCCAGAAAAAAAGGGCAAGCCGAGCCAGAAAAUCAAUAGUGUAGAAAGCAAGGAGGUGGCGUCGCAAAGCUCUACAGCAUCACAAGCUCUUGAGAGUCGCCCACGGCAAGGAAGUGAGUAUUCUAUUUUAAGGAUAAUUGCAUGUUUGUGAGCGUAAAGAGUACUUAUUUUUAAUGCUUGUAACGUAUUCUAUAAUUUUCCUUCGAGUUUAU